GUUUUAUUCUCCAGGUUUCUGGUUCACUCGUGUUCUCUUCACUCUCUUCUUUAACAAACUCCAUCUUCACAGCAGCAGAUCUCAGUUCAGAUGAUACUCCUCCAGAUAUUCCUGCUUUUCAUCAAAACGUAGUCACUACUUUGUUUAAAGAUGAGAAAUACCGUGAACUGCUCUCCUCUCCUCAGAAGAUCGCUGCAGCUGCGUCAGAAAGCUUUGAUGACUCUUAGUUCACGGUUUCUGCUGAAAGUGAUUUGUUCCUCAGCUCUCACUGAAUCCAGGACUGCAGCCGUUGAGCUCAAGGAG